GGUGCUCUGUGGGCCCGGGCCCUGAGCCUGGGAUCGGGGCGGUCAGGAGGACUGCAUCAGGCCCGUAAGGCGCUUGCCCGCCAGCGACUUUCCCUGCAGAGAGAACCGACAGAGACCACACACAGGUGUGCAGACACACAGAGGGACAGAGACAGAGAGCCAAACCGGUGAAUUAAUUGUUUUCGGAGUCACUCUGGCCAAAAGAUCAACCACCCAUCCCAGCUGACCUUGUGGAUAGGGAUCUCUCUGGGUAGAAGCCGCAGGUAGGGACAAUUGAGAGAAACAGGACUUUGGGCAGGUUACGGGAGUGAGUGUGUGUGGCUAGUACUCGUGCUGGGGCAUGGAAGUUCUGCAUACCAAAGCCUAGUUAUUAAACCCUCAGAUCCUUUACUGCCUGUGGGCUGCCCUUCGACUUGACUUUACUCUAGUGUGUAAGGAAAAGGUAGGCUGGGGAAGUCUGAGGUCAGGGAUAGUUGACACAAACAGACGAUCACCACAGAUCCGGGAGAUCGGAAAUUAAGGAAUUAAUUAGUCAUGGGAAUCCUGAAAAACCAUGACACAGGAUUGACACCGAGGAUUUGGGGACUCUUGGCUCUAGGUGCUGUGACUGUGAACAUGACUGGGACCUUCAGUGUUCUUUGCAAACCUCAGAGGUGUCAGAGAGCUGCAAUCUCAAAACCUUUGAUGUUCCUGAUUCCCCACGGGCAGUACCGGAUGAUGGGUCUGAACUGGGAAGCUACUGAAUGCUACUUAAAUCCUAUGUGGCCAUUAUUCUCAGAAUCAAAGAAUAAACAGGACCGUGAAGCCUGGUCCAUGAGGCACAGAGAUCCUGGGACAGUCUUAAUUAUCUGCAUGCUUUGGAGGGGGUGGGGGGUUGAGGAGCCUAUGAUCUGGGAAGGAAUUCAGUGCUAGAGAGCAGGAGGAGGCACAGGAUGAAUGAGGCUUGGUCACUCCUACUAUUUCCUUGGACAUGGUUUCUACUUGUCCCUACACCCCCUUUAGAGAUUCCUACUAUAGGACAUGGAUCUCAGGGAAGAGUGUGGCUGGACCCCAGGCAGAUUGAUCGCCAUGUCUGGGAAAACAUUCAAAGCCCAUCCUGCUAUUGACAGUGGGUCAGUGACACCUGUCACCAUCUGCAGAGGGCAGCAAAUGAUCCCCCACCAGCAAGGGCUGUGGAGUUUGGCAGUGAGAGUGCACGGGCCAGCCGUUCCUCAUGCUCAUUUCCAAGUGGGGUGUGGGGGCUCAUUUUGUUUACUGGGCUCGGCUGCACGUAAGCUGGAUGUAAUUAAAAAAAAUUGAUCUGGUUGGUGAAGCCUACUGGGGUACUCAAUAGACCUGCUGAUUGAUGAAUUGAUGGGUAAUGGGCAGAGCUAAUAAACGAACAAGAGCUUAGAGCUGCCAGGGUGCAUGGCUGUGUGUCAUCCAGCUCGGCUCUAUAUGGAGGGAUGCAGUCAGCCGAGCUGAGACAGCUGAUGGCAUGGAUGAGGGCUUGUCCAGAAAUGGAAUUGCCUCAGAAGCUGUCAGAAAAUCUGUAUCUAUUCCCCUUCUUCUUUUCUCUUUCCUUUCCUUCAUUUCUCCCUUAUCUUAAAAAAAAUCACAAAUUCACACACACACACACACACACACACACACACACACACACACACACACACAAUCUUCCCCACCAACCACCUUAUCUCUUAGUCUUCAGAUAGACUAAACUCAGCCUGCAGCAACCUAUGUUUAUACUAGGCUAAAGAUUUUUCAAUCAGCUUUAAAAAAUCUUGGCGAGUUCCUGUGUCAAUCAUGCUCGUGUGCGCGUGCAUGUGUGCAUGUGCGUGUGCGUGUGUGUGUGUGUGUGUGUGUGUGUGUGUACACAUGUAAGUAUAUGUGAAGUUCAGAGGGACAACCUCAGGUGUCUUUCCUGAGGAGGUACUUGUCCACCUCAGUUUUUGAGACAUGGUUUCUUAUUGGCCUAGAACUCAUGCUGAGUAGCCUAGGCUGGUUGGCCAGGGAGCACCAGGCACCCACCUCUGUUCAUCCCUGGUGCUGGGAUUAUAACCACAUCCAUCUUUUUACAUAGGUGCUGGGUAUCAAACUCAGUUCCUCAUGCUGGUGUGAUAAGUAUGUUACAUACAUAGCCAUCUUCCCAGCCCAUCCUGUCAGUCUGAGACUCUCUAAAAGGAGAGCCAGUCAUUUAGUAGCCAUCUACUAAAAGGACAGCCCCACAGUGCCCUCAGAAGACAGACAAUAGCUUCUAAGGCCUCCAUUCCAGCCUAGCUCUCACUCUCCAGGUUACCCUUUCUCACACGGAGCAGGGAACAUUUGUAUCCCUGUUGAUCCAUUUGGGAAUGUACCUUCUCAGUAUAGGCACAAAGGCAGGAGCCAUAGGGUGAGUUUAGACUCCUUUUCUGGAAAAACAUGAGUCUAAGGGCCCUUGGGGGUGACAAUAUCACUUCCUGUCACCUUUGUUUGCCUCUGGUCACAGGAAGGUAUAGACUAUUGCUGCAGUGACCACACAUUUAAUCUGGCUUCUCCUCCCCUUCCGCCUUUCCUCUAUCAGGGCCACAAAUUAAACAUUGUGUACUCAGAUACCUAUGCCUGAGUUGCACAGGUGAAAAAAAAAAACCCCACUAAAUCUGAAUAAAAAUGCGUGUUAAGAACUCAAGGAAGGGAAGGUUUACCAGUUGUCCGAACCCUCGUUAUAAUUCCAUCUUCAUUGGUGAGGUCAUUUUGGCUACAGAGGUGCUGUGGGUAGGCAGACUAGAGAUCUUUUUCCUGGAGGAUUGUUCUGAGUAAUUUCAACCCUGAGGCACCCCCACCCUUCACCUUUCCAAGCUCUAAAGAAAUCCUGACUGGAUUUGGAGGCGAUAAUUAAUCUCUCCCUGCCAGAACUCAGCCUCAUCGUUCUAACUCCAAGGACUUGUGGCCAGAGUGCAAAUGGUGGCCCCUCCCCUUCUUCCCCCAUCUCUUCAUCUCUGGGAACUUCCAGGAUGAGGCAGGUAGCUAACUAGCCCAGGAGCUGCUCCUGGGAUCAGUACCUGCCUUUCAACAUCCAGGUGGUGGUGUGUGGCCUUUUGGUCCCUCUCUUACUGCUGAGCUCACACAUUUACUAAAUGCCAGUUUUGAUGCUAAAGACGAGGUCAGGAGGGUUUGGGAUGGCUUGGAAAAGACUCUGCUCAGCUGAGAGGGUAUAGCUGCAAUCCACCCACCUCACCAUCACCUGAGUGAGCGAGGCUGGGCUACUGGCUGCAAGGAAAUUAAUCACACAGGAAGCAGUCAGGGCUGGAUGCCUGGCCAGGAGCUUUGGGGGAAGAAAUCAUGAGAUACCCCCUGGCUCAGCAGCAGCCUGCCUUCUGAAGAGCAGAGACUCCUGUGGUGUUCAGGGAUCAAAGUGAAAUCCUAGAGGCGAAGCUAUCUGUUCUGAGGUGAGCUGCCCCAGAGGCUAUGCCCAGUGGGUUUGCAGGCUGCUUCAGGCACUUGCUCUACCCAGAGAGCCCCCUCCUGAACCCUCUAGGGGUCUUUUCUCCCUCUACUUUGUUCCCCAUCCCUGACUCCAGCAGGGAUGAUCCUGAAGGAAGGGGAGUGGUGAGUUUGCCCAUGCCUGGCACUUGUAGAGUUACAGAGGCAGCACUGUUUCGGGGUGUGAACGUGUAAUGUUCCUCAGUUCUGGUCAGUAGGGUUUGGAUUGUGGUGCCAGAGAGCAGCAGCCUGCUCAGCCUGAGGCCUUGGCGUAGCUGAGCGAAGCAGCAGAGACUGUUUGAAAAUGCUAUUAGCAGGGAGCCUUUGUCCAAAUGAGAAAAAUGUACAGUGAUUAAGAACUGAACUGUGGAAGGUACCUUCCAGAGACACCAAAGCUUUGCACACAGACAAAGCACCUUUCACCUUUCACACCUGGCAAAAAUGUAACACAGGAGAACUUGGGAUGCUUAAAUUUCCUGGACCAAGGACUCCAACACCCACACAUUCAGCCCCCCAUCCCCAGUGGAUGAUUUCAGCUCUGUGGCCUUGAAGAUGGCUAGAAACCUGAUAGAAGGUGUUAGGGGAUCCUUUGUUUCUGAAAGAAAAUGCACAAAAGGCAUAGCUAGCUCCAUUUUGUGCAGAGCUGGAGGACAACAUGCUGCUGGACAUGCCGAGGCUCUGGGCAUCGCACCUCUACAUAGUAACCAACGAAGCAUGCAUGACCCCGUGACCAAGAGCUUUUGCCAUUUACUUACCUGGGAGACUGGGGCUAAGAACCUCAUUGGUUGAGAGGAGAGCUAUGGCUCAUGGGAAUCCCUGGGGGUCAGAGGGCAUACUUGGCACAGCAGGGCAAAUACCUAGGGUCUUAGGGUAGGGGAAACCCUUUUUAUAUAAAAGAAUAUGGACACUUUAGCUGAUAGAAUUCCCUGGUUGAUUUUCUCAGUCGCUCUAACUGAAGUUAGAAAUCUGCAGAAUAUACCAAAUCGAAAUCUAGGCUGUAAGUAGGGUUUGCCUGCCCCUGGGAGAGAGGAGUGGCACUGAGGUGGGGGAGCAUGAGGGACUUCAUAAGGUGAUGGGCUGUAGGUUACAUGGGAGUAUGCAUUUGUCAAAUUCAUGGAACCCUGUAUUUCAGACCCGUGCGUUUUAUCAUACGCAAUCACAAUUCCAGGGAGAAACUGUAAGAAAUAAGAUUAGAGAGGGGAAAAAAAGACGAUCCGGCUGUCUCAUCAUGGCCUAGGAGUUUCCACUCCUGAGUCUUUGUUAGUUGCUGGGCCAUCUUUGCCUUUCUAAAAACUGACUGCUCCCUCCUCCCACCUGGGAGAAACUCAGAUUCCUCUGGGCAGGACUAAUUUGGGGCGCUAUUUCUAGCUUCCAUUGAUCCCAGCUGAACCCCUUGGUGUGACACACAGGCAUUUUUCAUCCUUGCUAAUGAAAAGUAGUGUUCUGCCAGAUUGGGCACACCAACUCAGAGGUGGGCUGUCCUUUCAAGGACUGUGAAGGUCGUCUAUGAGUUGACGGUGCUCACGUUUACAAGAUGGAAACGUGUAGAUUUACAGGCUCAGGGGACGGGGGUGGGCAGCCAAGGAGAGAGGUCAGAAAUCCACCCAGCCAGACGCGAAGGCACAAGUCCUAGUGAGGGGUUGACAGAGAGGGAGACGCAGAGGGUCUGUCUAACUUCAUCGGGCUUUUGGUAUCCUCCCUGUCGCUGCAUGAGUAAGGCCAAACGAUCGAUUUGGAUAGGAUAAAUAUGAGGAAUUCCAUGACGUCUCCUUUUCCAACGAUAUUUUAGAGUGCCGUGAGAGAGAGAGGACUACUUCUUGAGACGGUUCAAGUGUCUGAGAAACUCUGGCACGGGAUGGUAGAGGGGCCUGUACUUAGAAUAACCUCAGAGCACCUGCAAUUCCACAUCUUCUCUCAGCUUGUUCUGACUUUGAAAGGCAAAGUGGGGCUGAAGACAUAGAAAGGCACAAACAAUGGGAUGCACUAAGGACAGCCGGGGCUGCAUCCACGGUGGAUCCAGACAGAGCGGCACCGGAAGGAAGAGGGCAUUUCUGGGCUGUUCCACCCUGCCACAGGGAGACCGGCAGGUAGGAGCCCCAUGGCAAGACCCAAUCCUGGGGUCCGACUCUUCCAAGGCUCUCGGUGAGCUUUUUGAACUCUCCCUGGGCCUGAAGGGUAUUAUUUUAAUUUGUUUAAAAGUAUUCUUUCUAUUUGAGUAUCCUAUAAGGCUAUAUCGCAAGGUAUAUCUCUAAGACUUGGUGCAUAUGGAUUUGCAGCAGGUGUGGCUGGACGUGCCAGGUGAAACCAUCACUGUGCCUUGGGAGCAUCCUGUAGAGACUUCAAGAAGGACAGAAGCUGAUGUAGUACUGAGUUCUCUGAGGUGGGUCAGGCAAAGUGAACUUGCUCCCUUUAGAAAUGACCCCAUUUCAUGUCAUCAUAGACCAACUGCCCAAUUUGGAAUACCCCUGACAGACUCUGGAACUCUCCCUGAAUGGUGUUCAUGGACUCUGGUUCCUGCCUGUCACCAAAUCAUCCCUUAGGAUGAUUUUGUACUUGCAGAGCUAGCUAACCGUUGACUGUCAGUGAGCUGCGGGAGACCUUCUUCCCUAUCCCUCCAGCUGCACAGAGUCUAAUCUGGAACCAGGCAAAGAUGCCAGGGAAGGGAAGUUCAAGUACGUGCAAGAGAAGCUUAAUAAUUUGAUAUUAUGGACAAGAGAGCAGAAAUCACUUGUGUGGCACUGUGAGAUUCUCCAGGGAAUCUGGGAAGACUUCAAUGCCAGCUACUUAAAAGCACCUUUCUCCUGCAAACACAUAUACAUUGGCUGGUAUCCCUAACUGCAAUAUCUAAGUCAGAGUCUAGCGGGCAGGAAGUCAGCUUCCUGAUUUGCCCCUUGCCCUCCUCUGCCCACCCAAAGCAGAAGACUUCAUGGACAUCGAUGUGUGCUUGGAGGCAUGUGAGGAGAAGGCAGUUCAUUUCUCCUUUCUCUCUACCACCUUGGCUGCAGUUCGGCAUUUCAUGAGCUAGGCGUUCUAACCCUGGAAAGGGACAGGUUAAGCAGCAUUGUCAGGGCCCACCUGGAUAAGACCUCCGGCCAUUGAAAUUAGCUUCAAAGAACCUUACUACUUGUCUUUCCCUGCAGACUCGUUUCUCAUAUGGGGAUAUGAGGGUUUGGACUUAGCUGAGGAUUCAGUCCUAGGCUUGUAAAAGGACAGGUUCUGAAAGCUUUAUCAAGGAGAGGGAACCUACGGAUACCGCGAUCAGGUUUGAACAUGUCUACAAAGCUGUUAGGAAGUGGGUACCCUGAGAUAUGAACUAUAAGGCUCCAUACCUAGGAUGGGACUUAUUAGGCAUUGCCUCCAGGACAAAGGAUUCAUGUUGGCAACAUCUCCGGGAUGCUCACCUCCUUAUUUCUUAGGAAAAAAAAAAAGAAAAGAAAAAAGAAAAACCAACUAGAUGCCCCAAAACAUGGAUACCAAGAAAUGUGUGCCACUGACUGUCUGUGGGACCAAGACAUGAGAAUAGGAGCAGUGAGCAGACAGACAGACAGAUAGAUCAUUUCUUCUGGAUUGGGGAACACUGUCUAUGCAGAAGAAUCCCCAAGGUUAGAGAGAGUACAGUCACUGGGAUCACUCACCCACUGCUGGAAGGAAGCCACCUCGGGGGUGAAACGCGGCGGCCAUUCUGAGUCUGCGCCAGCAGCACUAGGCGAUUGUGUUUGGGGGAAGGGAAGUGAAGAAUAACUUAUCCAGCUGAAACCGCGAAGACCCGUGGCUUCAGAGGUGCCCCUGCCCAGAUACAGAUACAGCCAUGACAGGCAUGCAGUCCAUGCACGGGCGCAUGCAGGCCUGCAGCAUAUGGUGGCACGUGAGCCGUAUACUGAACACCGCAGUGUGCAUCCAAAAGGAGGCACAUGCACCUGUGCACACACACCUGUGCAUACACACGUGUAUACAUAUGUGCAUGUUCACAGAGCAGACAUUCACGUAAGCAUCUCAUGCAAGACACAGAAGCAGCUAUGAGGCUAAUGGUGGAGAUUUUUACAUCAGCUCCCAGCCGUGCCAACCUUUGACAACAGUGCAAACCUGUUUGCCUUCACACACACACACACACACACACACACACACACACACACACACACACACCCCAAAUUCUCCUCAGGAAACUCCAUUUGUGUCAACCCUGUUUCUUCCAAUGCCAUAAGCAGUAGGAGCCCACACCCCGGGGACCUGGUUUAUGGAGAUGUUUUAGAGCGUUUCCCUGCCACUUGCUUCUGAGUCUUUCAAGAGCCUUGCUGUGUAAUAAGUGCUUAAAAAAAUAGAAACCUCUGUUUAUCUGGCAGAUGGAGCAACUGGCCUUGGUGAGGUUGCGUUGCUCUGGGUGGCUCCAGGAGGCAAACAGCUGAGAGGUGAGUUGCCCUAGAAAUGUGGCUGCAUGGUAUGAGGGCUAUGCUAGGAGGCCUGGGCUGUCCAUGCUGCUUGGGGGACAAAGCCAGUCCUGGUCUGUGUCUGGGAUAGGGAGCCAUCUUCAUGUCCUAGGUCUCUAUGGAAGCCCAGAGGCCGAGUCUUAACAACACGGACAGUAUUUUACCUGUGGCCCGUCCCACCUCUUACUCUUGUGUUGAUGAGACUCACAGCCCCAAGGCUUCUUGGAAAGUCCUUAAGAGCUAGGAAGUAGGUCAUGUGCCAGAGGCUGGCCUCUCGGGCACUGUAGUCCCUCUCCAUUCCCCAGUAAAGCAGAGGAGCUGAGUUAAGUUUAGAGGAGGCCAGGAAUAAUGGCUCCCAUUCACCGAGGAGUUAUCAUUCCCAUUAUUGUGGUAAAUGUACUUUGUACAUAGCAUCGCUUUCAUCCCCUGGACUCUAAAGUCACUACAGCAAUACCUACCUCACAGAACUCUGUUGCACAUGACAUAAAAUGAUAAAUGGAGAACUAAGGAUGGCUGUGCUUCAUGAAAAAUAUACCAAAUGGUUGUCAAGCACGUAGUCUGCCAACAGUGUGCUCUGUGUAAAUUUCACGCCUCACCAUUUACUGUUCUCUCUCCUUUAUGGUGGGGUAAACUGAGGCCCAGAGGAUCUUCUCAUGGUCAUCCAAUGGGUAGAGUUGGAGAACCAACAUCCACGCCACGCUAUGCCCAUCGUCACAUGGUUGACACCAUGAGUUCUCAGGAAACAGCAGCUGUCACUAAUCCUAUUCUCAUGCAAUGCUGACCUAAGCUCUGUGACGCAGGAUUUGUUUUACCCCUCAGGUCCACGAGUGACUUUUACAGGUUCUUACAUCAAUAUCAGGAUGAGUGGGGAUUCCAUUUUGGCUGCCUGCUUCAGAUUUACUUCCUCCUCUGAAUUCCAGUGAGCUGUAAAAGGGCAUGGCUCACAGGGAGGAAAAACAAGCAGGCCAUCUGUGGUAGGGGUGACAAUGCAAGUGGGGACAUGUUUCGGCCAAGCUUUUGACAUUCAACUCUAGGUAGUUGGUACAGCUUAGGCACAAUGCAGCUCCACUGUCUAGUUAGGGACACAUGCCGGGGUUAAUUGGCUAGGAGCAAGAGCAAGCUAGAAGGUUCAGAGAAGCCAGGUGAGAGGGGCCAGUCAGUGGCCACCCAAAGAUACACCCCUGCUGGCAAGAUACACCACACCAAGCAGUCCUUGUUGUCUCUGGAGGGCAUGGCCAUGAAGAAAACCUGACACUAAACCUAGAGGAAGCUACUGAAGGGCAGGGCGGGGCUACUCUGGUGGUUACCACCCAACUCAUACUCCUUGGUGGUCUUUCUCAUGAUGUCCUAUGGACCUAGGAAUUAGGCAAGAGAGCUAUGAUUGAGGACAAGCAAAUGAUGGGGCCUGAACCUCUGUAUCAUUAUCAGGAAAACCUCCAUGGAGUAUAUGUCUUCUGGUCAUGAUCACCCACAUAGGAUAAUGGUUGCCUCCUUUAUAGAUACUCUGGAACCUUAUAGAAUCAUCCAGGGCAAAUUCUGCCUGCUACUUUUACUGUAGAUGGCAGGGUAUUGUUUUUGCUUCUUGUUGGACAGCCUGUGUGUCCCACAAGACAUGGAGGUUCCAUUAGAGCCUGCUCUUUGUGGAAGAGAUGAAGGUCAGAGGCAUAUGGAUAAAUCCAGACCCCAGCAACCACCAACUCUCAACUUUCUUCCAUGUUAAGGAAAAAAAAAUCUUAUUAAAACUUCGCAGGAUCGCCAUGUUUAAUGAGAGGCCUUGAUAAAUUUGAAAGCAAAGAUGAAGAGAGGGAAAAAGCCACGAGCUGUAAUCACCAUAAUUACACAAUCCCACGAUGAGUUGAAAGCAGCCUCCGGUGAAGCCCCAGAGAGGAGGGAGUGUCAUCUGCAAUACGGUGACUCUUAGGACAGCUGAAAAGAAUGUGACACGAAAGCCCUUCCUUCCUUCCUUCCUAGGAGCCCAGUCUAAGACAGUCCCCUUGGCAGGACCCAGGAGGAGGAGUGUACAGGGAGGACACCCCUUUUCUGGUCAGAAGCACUUGGGGGCAUUAGGCAUUAGCUUCAUCACCUGGAUGCAGCAGCAUUGGGUAAAAGACAAAUGUCUUUUCUGCUUUCAACAAAAUACCCAUCCUGGUGGGAACUGUGGCAAGACAUGCUUUUUCCAACCCAGGCCAGGAUGCUCUAUGUUCUACACUGUGCCCAGCCCCCUGGGUCCUUCUCUGGUUGACCUCCUUUCAGGCAUGCAGGGAAGACAGCCCUGUUGCCCAAGGCCCAGCUGCAGCAGCAGCAGCAGCAGCAGCAGCAGCAGCAGCAGCAGCAGCAGCAGCAGCAGAGUAAUUAGUCAAGGUCAGAGAAGAGGAGAGGCACAGUUGAUGUGUGCAGGGCAGAGAUUCUGUCUCUUGAGUUUCUCUUGCUUUCUCUGUGUCACUGUUUCCUUAUUAUUUUCCCAAGGUAGAUUCCUGGAUCCUUCUUCUGCAGUCUCAGCAAACUUCCUCCUUAUAUCCCACUCACAUCCCCCAUAACCUGUAGACCACUGAAUUAAACUCAGCAAGAUCCCUUAAGAAGUAUUUAGUGUGGUCCAGAAUCUCAGUUGGAAGACAUUUUGGAAUUCAGCACAGAAAGUUCCUCUGCAAUGUUCCUGGCCAAGGCGUUUCUAAACACUCUCAGUGAGGCUUACACCAUGGCUGAGAAGUUGCUGCUGUCAGAAUAUUCUCCAGUAGAGUGGCCCUCCCUAUGUCUUCUAUUCCCUGUUCUGCUUUACCCUUUGGGAACAUCAAGAUGGGUUCAUUUAUUCUGGGAAACAAAGAUGAACAUCAGGUUUGCCUGAGGCCAAACAUCUUUAUCUACUCUUGUCUCCUUUGACAUGACCUUCACAGAGCCUUUCUCUCCUGAAUUUCUUCUGGCUUAUCAAAACUCUGGAUAAGAUACAGAGAGUUAGCAUGAAGGUGCUCAGAGCAGCACCAGGCAGGGAGCACUCCUCAAGGCAGGGAGAACUCCUCAAGGCAGGGAGAACUCCUCAAGGCAGGGAACAUUCCUCUGGCCUUUUAACCUUUUCCAUUUCUGUUAUGACAACCUCAAGUUAGAAAUAACAAUCAGAGGGUGGGAGAGGUGGGCAGGAGUAGACAUUAUUUUCAAUCUCUCACUAACAAUGUUCUCUCUCUCUCUCUUAAAAUUUUGUUUUCCCGUAGUAGGGUUGUCAUUAUUAGGAUCACCCAGGAAAAGAAGAACGGGGUGUUUCUGCCAAAUGUUAAGCCAAUGAAACCUGUUCCUGUUUGGGACUGUGCUAUUGUUGCUAAAGCCACAAGGACUUGGCCGUGAUGAAGGGAUGUGGAAGACCCACUGCUGUUUGAGCCCUGUCUUAUUUUUCUACCCAAUAGACAGCUGCCUUGAAACCCCUCAAACACCCUUCUCUCCUUAGCUUUAUGAAGAACACCUCAGCACUGGAAGUCCCUCUGUGUUGAGCUUUCUCCCCUCUCCUUCAGCAUCCCAGGCAGCCAUUUGCUUCUAAGCAGCGUCCUAUAGUCUGUUCCUACAAUGCAUACAUCACAGGUGUACUUACUUUCUAGGAUACUGUGCUUUCUUAACUCCAUUGCAACCUGGGAAACUCACUUGCUGCUUCAAUGAGGGCAAGUACCUACCACCUUGUUUUCACAGUGGCUAAUUUUGGGGUGGGGUGGGGUUGGGAGAGAAGACCGAGGGUCUUACUGGCAGUUCUCUGAUCUAAAGCUCCCUACUUUUCUUUCAAUGGUUCGGUUUUGGUAACAGAUAGAAUUGAGUCUCCUAGACCUUGACCUAGGAAGCCUUGUCCUCUUUCCAGGACCUAAGCCUGGUAAUGCCUGGAAGUGGCUCUCUACUUGGGCCUGCUGGCAGCAUUGUUCCCUAAAGAGACAUGUGCAAUCUUGUGAGUGGCCCAUCUCUCCUGCUAUGCAGGGUCCUGGCUCACCUUUACUCUUUGCCUGCUCACUGGACAGACGAGAGCCCACAAAGUUCCCCUGUGACUGCCUGGGGACAUGUGCCAGAGUGGGUCACACAGCAACAAGAAACAGGCUGAAAUUGCACAACCCCACCAUUCGCUGCUAAAGUGAGAUCUCCUUCUAGAAGGAUGGGGGUGGCCAGGAGGCAACAGGAUGGCAGAGGGCUCAGGUCACCUCCCAAAAUAGAUCCCUGCCUGGCACAGACACAUAGUCUGCCCCCAGCCUGCCUCACCAGGAGACUGGCAAGGGUGAGAUCUGGAUGGAAAUCAGCUGCUGUAAACACACAGCUGAGCCCUUCUGCCUCAGAGGACUUGGAUUUUCAGUUGACUGCGUGGCACUCUGGGGUCUGGGAAAGGAAGCAACAGUGGUGUAAGGGUCGAGGGGAGGCAGGGCGUAGCCAGCCCAGAAACUUGCUCAGUCCAGUGUCCUGAGACUGAACCACCUACAGGAUUCUUCUCUGAAUGGGCACUGGGCAUUUUUUGGGUGAUUUCAGCUGUCAGAUCGAAUCAUCAGUUGUAACAACCAGGGUUCUGGUAGCCGGGUCUAGGGAUGAUUAAUCUCCCCCAAAUGACAACUAAACUCGAUAUAAAGACAAAA
rnacentral:sRNA from 1 species